GUGCUCUCUUGGGCAGCGCAUAUACUAAAGUUGGAAUGAUGCAGAGAAUAUUAGCAUGGCCCCUGUGCAAGCAUGACCUGCAAAUUUGUGAAGCAUUCCAUAUUCUU
rnacentral:snRNA from 1 species